rnacentral:rRNA from 1 species
AUUGAACGCUGGCGGCAGGCCUAACACAUGCAAGUCGAACGAGUGGCGGACGGGUGAGUAAUGUCUGGGAAACUGCCUGAUGGAGGGGGAUAACUACUGGAAACGGUAGCUAAUACCGCAUACCAUCGGAUGUGCCCAGAUGGGAUUAGCUAGUAGGUGGGGUAAUGGCUCACCUAGGCGACGAUCCCUAGCUGGUCUGCGAGGAUGACCAGCCACACUGGAACUGAGACACGGUCCAGACUCCUACGAGAGGCAGCAGUGGGGAAUAUUGCACAAUGGGCGCAAGCCUGAUGCAGCCAUGCCGCGUGUAUGAAGAAGGCCUUCGGGUUGUAAAGUACGUUCAGCGAGGAGGCGUUACUCGCAGAAGAAGCACCGGCUAACUCCGUGCCAGCAGCCGCGGUAAUUC